CUGUGACUCUAGAGAACCCUGACUAAUACACCACCCAACAGGCAAAUUUACAAAGACUUGGACUUAAAUGGCACCUUCUUUAAUAUUCCCCUAGAUAAAACAGCCAACCACUUUUCACCUUCAAGUAGCAAGAUAUGGAAAACAGGUUCACUGUACAGCUAAUCUGGACAAGACUUCUGCAAGGAUUUAAGAACUUGCCCACCAUCUUUGACAAAGCUCUCCAUCAGGACUUAUGUUGGCUUGGAGACAGCACUGCUUGACAGAAGAUACCCUGCUUUCCUAAUGCCCGCAAAAGUACAAGGCCCAACAGUGUGAACUUCCUGGACCUGCUUUACACUUGAUGCAAUCCUGGCCUUAGUAGAGAGGCCUGGCAAGUGGAGCUGGAGGUCUUGGAUAGAGGAGAACAUGGACACUGUGGUGCCAGCAUUCCUCAGGCUUUGAUCCUUGGACCAGCUUGAUCCUGCAUUCUUACAUUAGUGGGUGAUAGCACUGAACUUCCAGAAGCAGUGGUCUUCAUUUCAUCUGACAAAUGCUUGUAAAGUGGGUUCUGCCCUUAUAAGUAAAGAACAGAGGAGCCAAAGGUUGGCUUGGAGUACUCAGAGACAGCACUGCUUGACAGAAGAUACCCUGCAAUCCUAAUGUCCUCAAAAGUACAACGCCCAAGAGUAUGAACUUCCUGGAGCUGCUUUGCACUUGAUGCAAUCCUGGUCUAAGUAGAGAGGCCUUGCAAGUGGAGCUGGAGGUCUUGGGUAGAGGAGAACAUGGACUCGGUGGUGCCAGCAUUCCUCAGGUUGGUUGACUAUGUGUUGUGUUUGUGUGUAUGCACGUGUGUGUGUUCAACAUGCCGUGUGUGUGUAUGUCAGAGGACAACAGUAGCUACAUCAUGGAAAUUAUGUGAGUUUAGAAUAUUGAACUCAGGUUGUCAGGCUUGAGAGCCAGCUCCUUGACUCACUGAUCCAUUUUGCUUGCCCCAUUCUUCACCUUAACAGUGUCUCCCGAAGCCACAAGAAAAUCAAGAGACUAUCACCAGACCUUAAAUCCCUCUAUUUGUGUUGUUAUGUUCCACAGUGGUGGGGAUAGAUCCCAGGUUUCCCACUUACUAUUCAACAGUUCCACUGUGGAACUUGCCCCAGCUCAACACUGGGCAUUUUUCCUAGGAACCCCUUUCCCACAUUGAAUAAGCAGAUACAUUGUCAGUAGAAAUUGCAGGCCUGAUCACAUGUGCACCCAUGCUCCAGAGGUGGCACCAUAGUUUAAUACUUAGAAUUGUCAACAGUAAAGACCUUGACACAUACAUGUAUAGCCCAACAUCAGUUUUUCAAUUGUAAUCCUGAACCUUUCAACCUAUGAAAAUUACUCUUGAAGGCUAUUUUCACCCUGUGCUCUAUACAGUAACACUUU